GGAUGAACGCUGGCGGCGUGCUUAACACAUGCAAGUCGAACGAACGACUAUUAACAGAACCUUUCGGGGCGAAGAUGAUAGAAGUUAGUGGCGGACGGGUGCGUAACGCGUGGGUAAUCUGCCUUUGUCAAAGGAAUAACUAUUCGAAAGAAUAGCUAAAACCGUAUAACAUAUUAAUAGGGCAUCCUAAUAAUAUCAAAACGAUAGUGGACAAAGAUGAGCCCGCGUCUGAUUAGCUAGUUGGUGAGAUAAAAGCCCACCAAGGCAACGAUCAGUAGCCGACCUGAGAGGGUGAACGGCCACAUUGGAACUGAGACACGGUCCAAACUCCUACGGGAGGCAGCAGUGGGGAAUAUUGCACAAUGGGGGGAACCCUGAUGCAGCAACGCCGCGUGAGUGAAGAAGGCAUUCGUGUCGUAAAACUCUGUAGUAGGGGAAGAAAGAAAUGACAGUACCCUAAAAGAAAGCCCCGGCUAACUACGUGCCAGCAGCCGCGGUAAUACGUAGGGGGCAAGCGUUAUCCGGAAUAACUGGGCGUAAAGGGUGCGCAGGUGGUUUAACAAGUUAGUGGUGAAAGGCAUAGGCUCAACCAAUGUAAGCCAUUAAAACUGUUUAACUUGAGUGCAGGAGAGGAAAGUGGAAUUCCUAGUGUAGCGGUGAAAUGCGUAGAUAUUAGGAGGAAUACCAGUGGCGAAGGCGACUUUCUGGACUGUAACUGACACUGAGGCACGAAAGCGUGGGGAGCAAACAGGAUUAGAUACCCUGGUAGUCCACGCCGUAAACGAUGAGUACUAGGUGUCGGGUGAAGAACUCGGUGCCGAAGUUAACACAUUAAGUACCCCGCCUGGGGAGUACGCUCGCAAGAGUAAAACUCAAA
rnacentral:rRNA from 1 species